UCUGGAGACAGGUGCUGCAUGGCCGUCGUCAGCUCGUGUCGUGAGAUGUGGGUUAAGUCCGCAACGAGCGCAACCCUUGCCUUUAGUUGCCAGCAGUUCGGGCUGGGCACUCUAAAGGGACUGCCGGUGUUAAACCGGAGGAAGGUGGGGAGUGACGUCAAGUCCUCAUGGCCUUUAUGACCAGGGCUACACACGUACUACAAUGGCCGAUACAAAGGGCAGCGACACUGCGAGGGUGAAGCCAAUCCCGUAAAAAUCGGUCUCAGUCCGGAUUGGAGUCUGCAACUCGACUCCAUGAAGUUGGAAUCGCUAGUAAUCGUGGAUCAGCAUGCCACGGUGAAUACGUUCCCGGGCCUU
rnacentral:rRNA from 1 species